UACGGGGGGUGCACGCGGUUUGCGGAAUCGCUGGGUUUAAAGGGUGCGUAGGCGGCUGUAUAAGUCAGAGGUGAAAGCCCGGAGCUUAACUUCGGAACUGCCUUUGAUACUGUAUAGCUUGAAAUAGGUUGAGGUCAGCGGAAUGUGGCAUGUAGCGGUGAAAUGCAUAGAUAUGCCAUAGAACACCAAUUGCGAAGGCAGCUGGCUGGACCUUAUUUGACGCUGAGGAACGAAAGCGUGGGGAGCGAACAGG
rnacentral:rRNA from 1 species